CAAAUUCAAAGUAUGAGAAAAGCUAUAUUUUAGCAUACUAAGGGGGAUUAGCAUUUAAAUGUUGAGUGUUUCACUGUAUGCAGAUGACAUUAUCACAUUUUCUUUGUCAAUUGCAUAUGCCUAAAGGUAGAAGGUGAAGCGACAUCAGAAAUAAAGGUCAAAACCAAAAGUACUGGCACAAGGCGUACAGGAAAAGAACCUGAACUUUACUGUGUUCACAGCUGUUGGUCAACAAUCAGACAAGAGAGAAACUUCAGACCAAACAUUCAGCAAUCAAGAUAACAAUGCGUGAGAUCUAACAGCUAAAUAAAAAACUCAAUGACAGCUCAGCUGUUGAAAGCUUGUCAUUGCCAGGAUGUGACUCAGCUACCUAAAAUCAUCUGGACGUUCGAGGCCGAGUCCGCAGAGAUGAACUGCAGCCACACCAGAGACAAAGGUCAUAACCAGAUGUACUGGUACCGACAGCGUCCUGGGGAGACCAUGGCCCUCGUCGUGUACACGGUAUACGGUGGGCAGCCAGACUACGAAGGAAACUCCAAGACCAAAUACUCAGCAGUCAAAGACGCCAUAGAGACCGGAGCUCUGACCGUGAAGGACCUGCAGCCUGAUGACAGCGGUGUGUAUUUCUGUGCUGUCAGCAAACACAGUGAUGUGAGGAAAUACAACAGCUGAACAAAAACCGA